UACGUAGGGUGCAAGCGUUAAUCGGAAUUACUGGGCGUAAAGCGUGCGCAGGCGGUUUUGUAAGUCAGAUGUGAAAUCCCCGGGCUUAACCUGGGAACUGCGUUUGAAACUACAAGGCUAGAGUGUGGCAGAGGGGGGUGGAAUUCCACGUGUAGCAGUGAAAUGCGUAGAGAUGUGGAGGAACACCGAUGGCGAAGGCAGCCCCCUGGGUCAAGACUGACGCUCAUGCACGAAAGCGUGGGGAGCAAACAGG
rnacentral:rRNA from 1 species